CUUCUGAAGCGCCCGUAUUCCAAAUAUGUUUAAAAACCGCGAUCUACAAACUGGACGGUACGAAAUCCUGAUCAAUACUUGAACUGUCGGCGGGGCAUCUCCCCCAAGUGUCUCGCCGAUAUUGGUACCAACGGACCGCGUGCCAUUGUUUUACUCCUAAUGGUCUUAACCCGGAUUCACCCCCCAGAACCCGG
rfam:Pseudomonas sp. GM78 PMI35_contig277.277, whole genome shotgun sequence.